rnacentral:rRNA from 1 species
CCUACGGGAGGCAGCAGUGGGGGAUAUUGCACAAUGGGGGAAACCCUGAUGCAGCGACGCCGCGUGGGUGAAGAAGUGCCUCGGCGCGUAAAGCCCUGUCAGCAGGGAAGAAAAUGACGGUACCUGAAGAAUAAGCCCCGGCUAACUACGUGCCAGCAGCCGCGGUAAUACGUAGGGGGCAAGCGUUAUCCGGAUUUACUGGGUGUAAAGGGGGCGCAGACGGCGAUGCAGGCCAGGAGUGAAAGCCCGGGGCCCAACCCCGGGACUGCUCUUGGAACUGCGUGGCUGGAGUGCAGGAGGGGCAGGCGGAAUUCCUGGUGUAGCGGUGAAAUGCGUAGAUAUUAGGAGGAACACCAGUGGCGAAGGCGGCCUACUGGACUGCAACUGACGUUGAGGCCCGAAAGCGUGGGGAGCAAACAGGAUUAGAUACCCCUGUAGUC